UACGAAGGGGGCUAGCGUUGUUCGGAAUUACUGGGCGUAAAGCGCACGUAGGCGGAUUGGCAAGUCAGGGGUGAAAUCCCGGAGCUCAACUCCGGAACUGCCUUUGAUACUGCCAGUCUAGAGUCCGGAAGAGGUGGGUGGAAUUCCUAGUGUAGAGGUGAAAUUCGCAGAUAUUAGGAAGAACACCGGUGGCGAAGGCGGCCCACUGGUCCGGUACUGACGCUGAGGUGCGACAGCGUGGGGAGCAAACAGG
rnacentral:rRNA from 1 species